ACACAUGCAAGUCGAGCGGAUGAAGGGAGCUUGCUCCUGGAUUCAGCGGCGGACGGGUGAGUAAUGCCUAGGAAUCUGCCUGGUAGUGGGGGACAACGUUUCGAAAGGAACGCUAAUACCGCAUACGUCCUACGGGAGAAAGCAGGGGACCUUCGGGCCUUGCGCUAUCAGAUGAGCCUAGGUCGGAUUAGCUAGUUGGUGAGGUAAUGGCUCACCAAGGCGACGAUCCGUAACUGGUCUGAGAGGAUGAUCAGUCACACUGGAACUGAGACACGGUCCAGACUCCUACGGGAGGCAGCAGUGGGGAAUAUUGGACAAUGGGCGAAAGCCUGAUCCAGCCAUGCCGCGUGUGUGAAGAAGGUCUUCGGAUUGUAAAGCACUUUAAGUUGGGAGGAAGGGUUGUAGAUUAAUACUCUGCAAUUU
rnacentral:rRNA from 1 species